rnacentral:rRNA from 1 species
GAGACAGCAGCCGCCGCGGUAAAACGAAGGGUGCAAGCGUUAAUCGGAAUUACUGGGCGUAAAGCGUGCGUAGGCGGUGAGUUAAGUCUGCUGUGAAAUCCCCGGGCUCAACCUGGGAAUGGCAGUGGAUACUGGCUCGCUAGAGUGUGUCAGAGGAUGGUGGAAUUCCCGGUGUAGCGGUGAAAUGCGUAGAGAUCGGGAGGAACAUCAGUGGCGAAGGCGGCCAUCUGGGACAACACUGACGCUGAGGCACGAAAGCGUGGGGAGCAAACAGGAUUAGAUACCCGAGUAGUCCCUGUCUCUUAUAC